AUAACCCUACGGGCGCAGCAGUGAGGAAUAUUGGUCAAUGGGCGGGAGCCUGAACCAGCCAAGUCGCGUGAGGGAAGACGGUCCUAUGGAUUGUAAACCUCUUUAGGCGGGGAGCAAUGCCGGGCACGCGUGCCCGGAGGGAGAGUACCCGCAGAAUAAGCAUCGGCUAACUCCGUGCCAGCAGCCGCGGUAAUACGGAGGAUGCGAGCGUUAUCCGGAUUUAUUGGGUUCAAAGGGUGCGUAGGCGGAUUUUUAAGUCAGCGGUAAAAUGUCCGGGCUCAACCCGGGCCGGCCGUUGAAACUGG
rnacentral:rRNA from 1 species